GCCUGGGUGGCUCAGUCGGUUGAGCGUCCGACUUCAGCUCAGGUCAUGAUCUCACAGCUCGUGGGUUCGAGCCCCGCGUUGGGCU
rnacentral:tRNA from 1 species